rnacentral:rRNA from 1 species
UACGAAGGGGGCUAGCGUUGCUCGGAAUUACUGGGCGUAAAGCGCACGUAGGCGGAUUGUUAAGUCGGGGGUGAAAUCCUGGAGCUCAACUCCAGAACUGCCUUCGAAACUGGCGAUCUUGAGUCCGGGAGAAGUGAGUGGAACUGCGAGUGUAGAGGUGAAAUUCGUAGAUAUUCGCAAGAACACCAGUGGCGAAGGCGGCUCACUGGCCCGGUACUGACGCUGAGGUGCGAAAGCGUGGGGAGCAAACAGG